rnacentral:lncRNA from 1 species
CUGGCAGGGGAAAGAUUCCUUGGAGAAACAGUUUACUAGUCUGUUGGGGGAUGGCAGCUACCAAAGAAGCUGGAGGUGGGUGAUCUGUGCUCCUGUGGACAUUUUUGGAUCAUCCUACAAGGAGCCCUCAGAAGCAGGAAGGGGAUAAGAGGUUUUCAAUACCCUUAGGUGGACUAAGGGACAAUAUUGGGAGCUCCAGCCAUUCUCUGGACCAUCUAGGACUCCUCAUCAUCCAGCCUCUCCUUGCCAAAAGACUCUAUAUGGGAAGAAAGCGAGACUCAGAAAGGCACAGCAACUUGCCCAUGGUACCCAAUGAGGGUCAGAGACAAGAGGAAGAAAAAGAAACAAGAAUUUAUUCAUCACCUGCUCUGUGCCAGGGAGUUGAAGUUAAGCUGUUGGACGCCGGCUACCCAAGACCAUGCCAGCCCAAUGCAAGGCAUGAAGCCAAAACAAAUUGCCUUUCCACUACCCCUUUCGGGACAAGAUCAUCCAUUGGCAAUUAUCUUUCACUUGUAAAGACGGUAGAAGACAUGCCUUCCCAAAUAUCCCAGCCGAAAGACCUCUCCAAAAAUGCCUGAUGUUUCUAAGUCAUGCCACAAACACUACUGUGGACAAGAGAGGUAAGUAGAGUGACUGGAGAGUUUGAUUUUUCAUCCUCAGACAGUGGCCGCCUUUUCUCCUCUUUUCAAAAGGUGCAGUUCCUCCAAAUGAGAAUUCUCCUUUCCAUCUCUCUUGGUCUGAGCCGCCAUGUUCAAUUGGAAACGGGGCUUUCGAGAGCCACAGAAUCCACUGGCAACUUUCAUAAUUAUUGGGAAUGUUCUCUCUAAUUAACAAGGGGUAAUUGUUUCUGUUUUGUAAAUUGAUCUGAGAUGAA